CUUUACUGUAGCCUGGUAUUGGGUUCGGGCUUUGACUGCGCAGGAUAGGUGGGAGACUGAGAAGUGUGCCUUGUGGGGCACAUAGAGUCAACGGUGAGAUACCACUCUGUCAGAGCUAGAAUUCUAACCCUCACCCGUGAUCCGGGGAGGAACCGUAUCAGGUGGGCAGUUUGACUGGGGCGGUCGCCUCCUAAAAGGUAACGGAGGCGCGCAAAGGUGUUCUCAGGCUGGUUGGAAAUCAGCCGUAGAGUGUAAAGGCAGAAGAACGCUUGACUGUGAGAGUGACAACUCAAGCAGGGUGGAAACACGGCCUUAGUGAUCCGACGGUAUGCGCGUGGAAGUGCCGUCGCUCAACGGAUAAAAGUUA
rnacentral:rRNA from 1 species